UAUGACAUCCCUAAAACAAUUACAUAAUGUGCAAGUAAAAUGGCCAAUGACUGUCUUCAGUUUAUCAGAAAUCAAGAGGUCCAAGAUUAGGAACACCAGGAUCAGGGGAUCCAAACAUUUUGUAACUUGUCAACUCAAGAGUAUUCACACAGGCAAAUAGAUUUAUUUGCAGGAGAGAAAAGUGUAAAUCAUGGUAAAUCCAAAACUUUAAAAUGGUGCAUGUUUCCCUUAUUGACAGAAAGAGAAAUUUGUAUUAUUCAGGUGCAGCACAAAAUCAGUCUAGAUGUUCUUUCUUUGUCAAUCAUUUGAGGGGUCUCCUAGAAAUCCCAAAAUUAUUCAUACCUCUGAAAUAUAGGUGUAAAGUCCUCUUUAAAUUUUACCAAGAUGUUUCCUGUGUCUGGAAGUAGUAAUGGCGUUUUGGAGCGACAUGGCCAAGUCCCAAUUUGAAUCUAAUAGGCAAUCUGUGGAGGGAGAUCAAAUAUAAGGGUGAUAGCAAAGAGGUCUUCCGAUCUCAAAUAUAAAUUGUCAAAAUAAAUAAACAUGUAAAAAGCUGGUAAGCAGUUAUUAAAAAGGUUUUAUUGUUGCAGUUUUUUCCCCAUAUUGAUAAGCGUGUAAAACAAUCUUAACCUGCCAUUUUUAAUUAAGUGUAAAUAAAAAAACACUCCCUUUCAAUAUUUAAAAAUAGAUAUAUCGUACUUUUUUCCAUCAGAAAAAAAAAUCUAAUAAUUUUGCAGAUUUUUAAGAAAAAGGACAAGGCUCUUGGUUUAGCAAAUAUUCUCCAAGGACUGAACAUGAUCUAUCAAAAGCAGUUAUCAAAAACAUUUUUGACAGCAUCUUGAAUGGCCAAGUGGGGAGUGAAGGCAGGCCUGUGCCAUCUGAUCCAACAGAUAAGCUAAUUUAUCUUGGGUCAGGGAUGUUCUGGAAGCAAAAGGGGGGGAAUAAUGUACCUAAAUUUACAAAAAUCUGAGUGAACUGAAAUUCUGAAGGCUUUUCUUUUUUCAACAUGUGUGCACGUCUGCGUACUCACUACAAAGCCCUCCGUUUACAUUGUGUCACUUUUGUUGCGUGGUGUGCUACUCCACAGGAAUGAACGAAAUCCGUCAACGAUGGCCAGCGUCUGCGUGUUGAUGGACAGAAGGCACGCUAUCCUGCAAUGCAACGAAUCGGCCACCAGGAGGGACUGCAGUAUGAGUAAAUCACCAUAGCAGGUACAUGUUGCAGGACCAACAGACAGACUUGUGGGGCCCAAAGGAGGAGCAUGACUGAUAAAAGAGUCCGGCGUGGGAGUGCUAGUAAACAGGUGGCAGAUGUAGCAGAAUCCAGGCGGGCGCGGGAGGGGGAGAGGAAAGACGAAAGAGAAGAACAGCAUAAUUCGAUACCAGCCUGCAGAGAGGACAGCAGGGGAUGAGGGAGGCGGCCAAGAACGAGGGUAUAUGCUACAUGUAGGGCGGGGGGCUCAUUUAGAAAUGAUUGCUGUGAGCCUCCAGCAUACACUUGUGCCUGUCCAAAUAUUUAUCUUGUCACACAACCCGACAGAAAUAUUCAGAGAAGAAGCACAGAGGACUUCAGGUGUGAUUACCUUAAUAACCUUUAAUUUAAAAAAAAAAAAAAAAAAAAAAAAAACUUUUUUUGCAGCACAAGAUUCAAUGACAAUGACUUCCAAAGAAUAAAAAUGCCACGAUUGAUCAUUCAUAAUUUAAAGUCAUGUAAAAAGAGAAAACGCUUCACCUCAAUGUUGGCACUGAAGGUGCUAAACAUCCAUAAAGUGUGUUGUAACCCUUCAUAAAUGCAAUAAACUGCAUGUAGACAGCAGCUUGCACGUUACACAAACAGCACUGUUAUUUACUGAGUUCUCCACACAAAUUGCCCCACAACCCCGUACCCAGCAUGGGUGGGAUUGGACAAAAAAACAAACAAACAAAAAAAAACUUAAAAUAAAUUCUUAUUUUAAUGUUGUACCAUAAUCUCACA